UACGUAGGGACCGAGCGUUGUCCGGAAUCAUUGGGCGUAAAGAGCGUGUAGGCGGCCACUUAAGUCCUGCGUGAAAUCCUGCGGCUCAACCGCAGGCGGUCGUGGGAAACUGGGUGGCUAGAGUACGAGAGAGGUGAGUGGAAUUCCCAGUGUAGAGGUGAAAUUCGUAGAUAUUGGGAAGAACACCGGUGGCGAAGGCGGCUCACUGGCUCGUAACUGACGCUCAUGCACGACAGCGUGGGGAGCAAACAGG
rnacentral:rRNA from 1 species